rnacentral:rRNA from 1 species
GAGUUUGAUUCUGGCUCAGAGUGAACGCUGGCGGCGUGCUUAACACAUGCAAGUCGAACGAGAACGGGUUAUAGCUUGCUAUAAUUGACAGCUAAGUGGCGCACGGGUGAGUAAUGUAUAGGUAAUAUGCCUUUUACUAAGGGAUAACAAAUGGAAACGUUUGCUAAUACCUUAUAUUCCUUUUUUGCAUAAGUAAAGAAGGGAAAGAUUUAUCGGUAAGAGAUUGGCCUGUAUUGUAUCAGUUAGUUGGUGGGGUAAUGGCCUACCAAGACUAUGACGCAUAACUGGUUUGAGAGGAUGAUCAGUCACACUGGAACUGAGACACGGUCCAGACUCCUACGGGAGGCAGCAGUGGGGAAUAUUGCACAAUGGACGGAAGUCUGAUGCAGCAACGCCGCGUGGAGGAUGACACAUUUCGGUGCGUAAACUCCUUUUAUAUAAGAAGAUG